GACGUACGCUGGCGGCGUGCCUAAUACAUGCAAGUAGAACGCUGAAGGAGGAGCUUGCUUCUCUGGAUGAGUUGCGAACGGGUGAGUAACGCGUAGGUAACCUGCCUGGUAGCGGGGGAUAACUAUUGGAAACGAUAGCUAAUACCGCAUAAGAGUAGAUGUUGCAUGACAUUUGCUUAAAAGGUGCAAUUGCAUCACUACCAGAUGGACCUGCGUUGUAUUAGCUAGUUGGUGAGGUAACGGCUCACCAAGGCGACGAUACAUAGCCGACCUGAGAGGGGGAUCGGCCACACUGGGACUGAGACACGGCCCAGACUCCUACGGGAGGCAGCAGUAGGGAAUCUUCGGCAAUGGACGGAAGUCUGACCGAGCAACGCCGCGUGAGUGAAGAAGGGUUUCGGAUCGUAAAGCUCUGUUGUAAGAGAAGAACGAGUGUGAGAGUGGAAAGUUCACACUGUGACGGUAUCUUACCAGAAAGGGACGGCUAACUACGUG
rnacentral:rRNA from 1 species